rnacentral:rRNA from 1 species
GUGCCGUGUUCGAACCUGAAUUUCGCAAGGGGGGUUAAGUCGUAACAAGGUAGCCGUAGGGGAAUCUGCGGCUGGAUCACCUCCUAAGCA